AGUUAAUCAGCUGCCAGGAUCACCACCUGUCCCCUGUCAAAAUUGGCCUUGUACUGCAAAACGCCUCCCUCUUGGCUGGCCAUUCUUGCAAUGCUUCCAUCAGGAUUUACCAUGGAACCAGGUCCCCAUGAUCCUAGUUUGAUGUCCCACUCCCCACUGCUUGCCUGAGACCCUCUCCAAGCAGGGGGCAUGUGCCUUUUAAAUAUGAACCAAUUCCAAUAUAUAAAAACAUAGAACCUGGUUUUUUAAAUGACCACCUGACCUGCCAAGUGAAGAGAAGCUCAUUUUCAAAUGAUUCCCGGCUGUUAUAAUAGCACUGUGGGACUCCGGAAGGAUUCGGACCAGCCGCCGGAUGUGACGCAGGGGCCAGGGCGCGACGGAGACACGGAGAAAGUGCCGAGAAGGCGGUCCCUGUCUAAGGUCCGGACAGAGCCGGGCGCCCAAGGCCCGAGCGCCCAAGGCAGCACCAUACCCGCACUCUUGGAGCGCCCCAAGCUUUCCAAUGCCAUGGCCAGAGCACUGCACUAAGCACAUUGUGAUGGAGCGGGAGUGCAAGCGGCAGGAGGAAGAAGAGGUGGACAAGAUGACGGAACGGAAGAUGAAGGAAGAACAAGAGAGAAGAAAAAGGAGAUGGAAGAGAGUCACUAGAGGAGACUAAGGAACAAAUUCUGAAGUUGCAGGAGAAGCUUUUGGCCCUACAGGAAGAGCAGCACCAGCUUUUCCUGCAGCUUAAGAAAGUUUUACAUGAGGAAGAAAAACGGAGGCGAAAGGAACAGAGUGACGUGACCACCCUGUCAUCAACUGCAUACCAGCAAAGCCUGACUGUUCACACAGGAACCUUACUCCUCAGCAUGCAGGGGAGCCCUGGAGGACACAAUCGCCCAGGCACCCUCAUGGCAGCUGACAGCGCCAAACAAAUGUUUGACCCCAAGUGCUUAUGACCCGGCACUACGUGGGCCCAGCAGUUGCUUUUGCGGGGACACCAGAGGAUGGACAAUUCCAAGGCAGUCCUGGUGGUGCCUAUGGGACUGCUCAGCCCCCAUUUCAUUAUGGGCCCACACAGCCAGCUUAUAGUCCUAGUCGGCAGCUCAGAGCUCCUUCGUCUUUCCCUGCAGUGCAGUACCUAUCUUAGCCACAGCCACAGCCCUGUGUCCUGCACGGCCACUUUCAGCCCACUCAGACAGGUUUCCUCCGGCCUGGUGGUGCCCUAUCCUUGCAAAAGCAGAUGAAACACGCUAACCAGCAGACUGGCUUCUCCGGCUCAUCCUCUUUGCGCCCCAUGCACCCCCAGGCUCCGCAUCCAGCCCCUGGACUCUUUGCUUUCUUGCAGCUCUCUGUGCAGAUGCAACCAGCAGGAAAGUCGGGCUUUGCAGCUACCAGCCAACCUGGCCCUUGGCUCCCAUUCAUCCAACACAGCCAGAACCUGCGAUUCUACCACAAGUGACCAUCAGAUUAUAUCUUCAACACCAUGCCCCCCCAACCCCACCAUGGGUGAGGGUACAAUAGCAUUGUGCGUGAAUGGUUCAGUCAUCACAGAAGCAAGAAGGGCAGUUUUAUUUUAUGUUUGACCUAGUAACAGAAAUUGCGAUUGGAAGUCAACUUGAGAUACUUACAACAGCUACUUAUAAUCUCGUCAAUUAACAUUUGUGUAUUGCUUUACCCUUUAUGAAGCACUUCUAUGUACACUGUCAUCAUACAUUAGGGGGUGAUGGUGGCUCCAAGCAGAGAAAAAAACUGUAUUAUUUUACUGCCUAAUCUUAGAAACAGGGAGGAAACAUGUUCUUAGAAAGGAGAAUAUCAAAGCAAACCACAGAGCUAAGCACAAAAGAAGAAGCAUUAUCAGAGAGGCUGAAAUAAAAUAUUCCAAUUCAAUAAUUUGAGAGAGACACAUCGUGGUAAGAGGGUCAAACCCAAAUGAGGACCUAUCACAAAAUGUUCAAGAUUGAGGACUAGUGAACAACUAUGUGGCCAGAGUAGGUUUUUAGUUCUUUUAUUUACAGAAUAGUUAAUACAUAGCUUUGUAUUAAAAUAUAGCAACUGCAGCUAAACCAAAAGAAAAUAAGCAGUAUAUUUAGGCUUCUCUGCCCAGUAUCUUUGAUGGCCACAAUCUUGGGGAGAGUUGCCUAAAGUUUGUCUGCCCUGAUAUCCCAAUUUGUUGCUUCUUUCCU